rnacentral:rRNA from 1 species
UACAGAGGCCUCGAGCGUUAGGCGGAAUCACUGGGCUUAAAGCGUGUGUAGGUGGAUGUCUAAGUACCUUGUGAAAUCCCACGGCUCAACCGUGGAACUGCUUGGUAUACUGGAUGUCUUGAGCCAGCUAGGGGCUACCGGAACAAAUGGUGGAGCGGUGAAAUGCGUAGAUAUCAUUUGGAACGCCAAUGGUGAAAACAGGUAGCUGGGGCUGUGCUGACACUGAGACACGAAAGCCAGGGGAGCGAACGGG